rnacentral:rRNA from 1 species
GAUGAACGCUGGCGGUGUGCCUAAUACAUGCAAGUCGAGCGACCGGACGGGAAGCUUGUUCCUCUGCUGUUAGCGGCGGACGGGGGAGUAACGAGUGCAUAACCUACUUAUUUGACUGGGAUAAUUUCGGGAAACCGUAGCUGAUACCGGAUCAUAUUUCGAACCGCAUGGUUCAAAAGUGAAUGACGGUCUUGCCGUCACUUUUAGAUGGUUCCGCGCUGCAUUAGCUAGUUGGUAAGGUAAAGGCUUACCAAGGCAACGAUGCAUAGCCGACCUGAGAGGGUGAUCGGCCACACUGGAACUGAGACACGGUCCAGACUCCUACGGGAGGCAGCAGUAGGGAAUCUUCCGCAAUGGGCGAAAGCCUGACGGAGCAACGCCGCGUGAGUGAUGAAGGUCUUCGGAUCGUAAAGCUCUGUUAUUAGGGAAGAACAGAUGUAUAAGUAACUGUGCACAUCUUGACGGUACCCAAUCAAAAAGCCACGGCUAACUUCGUG